rnacentral:rRNA from 1 species
UGCUGGAUAUGAAAGUGGCGCACGGGUGCGUAACGCGUAUGCAACCUACCUUUAUCUGGGGGAUAGCCCGGAGAAAUCCGGAUUAAUACCGCAUAAAAUCACAGGAUGGCAUUAUCCAAUGAUCAAACAUUUAUGGGAUGAAGAUGGGCAUGCGUGUCAUUAGCUAGUUGGCGGGGUAACGGCCCACCAAGGCGACGAUGACUAGGGGAUCUGAGAGGAUGGCCCCCCACACUGGUACUGAGACACGGACCAGACUCCUACGGGAGGCAGCAGUAAGGAAUAUUGGUCAAUGGAGGCAACUCUGAACCAGCCAUGCCGCGUGCAGGAAGACUGCCCUAUGGGUUGUAAACUGCUUUUAUCCGGGAAUAAACCUGAGUACGUGUACUCAGCUGAAUGUACCGGAAGAAUAAGGAUCGGCUAACUCCGUGCCAGCAGCCGCGGUAAUACGGAGGAUCCAAGCGUUAUCCGGAUUUAUUGGGUUUAAAGGGUGCGUAGGCGGCCUGUUAAGUCAGGGGUGAAAGACGGUAGCUCAACUAUCGCAGUGCCCUUGAUACUGAUGGGCUUGAAUGGACUAGAGGUAGGCGGAAUGAGACAAGUAGCGGUGAAAUGCAUAGAUAUGUCUCAGAACACCGAUUGCGAAGGCAGCUUACUAUGGUCUUA